CACCCCGGCUCCCCGCAGCUCCCGGCGGGAGCCGCACGGGCCGUGGGAUCUGCGGGGCCGCGGCGCUUCGGGAGCGGUGUUGUUUCUAAUUAAUGCCUGUGUGGUAGCCUAAUCUGUGUUACCGGGCUCUCUGGAGUAUUGUCGCAACAAAGAUGAUACAGAAGCUGGAUUCAGUAUGGCUGAAUAAAUCUAGCCAUGGAGCUACACAUUGACUCUGGAGUUCACACUGCAUUGCAAACAAUGAUUGCCUGUGACUGUGGAAGUUGAUUUGAAGUCCUAGG
rnacentral:lncRNA from 1 species